AAACAUGUCAGUGAGCAAUCACCGCUGUGAAGGUGCUGCAUGGUUGUCGUCAGCUCGUGCCGUGAGGUGUCGGCUUAAGUGCCAUAACGAGCGCAACCCUUAUCUUUAGUUACUAACAGGUUAUGCUGAGGACUCUAGAGAGACUGCCGUCGUAAGAUGUGAGGAAGGUGGGGAUGACGUCAAAUCAGCACGGCCCUUACGUCCGGGGCUACACACGUGUUACAAUGGGGGGUACAGAAGGCAGCUAGCGGGUGACCGUAUGCUAAUCCCAAAAGCCUCUCUCAGUUCGGAUCGAAGUCUGCAACCCGACUUCGUGAAGCUGGAUUCGCUAGUAAUCGCGCAUCAGCCACGGCGCGGUGAAUACGUUCCCGGGUCUUGUACA
rnacentral:rRNA from 1 species